rnacentral:snRNA from 1 species
ACCGACGCGGAUUACGGU